UGGGGAAUAUUGGACAAUGGGCGAAAGCCUGAUCCAGCCAUGCCGCGUGUGUGAAGAAGGUCUUCGGAUUGUAAAGCACUUUAAGUUGGGAGGAAGGGUUGUAGAUUAAUACUCUGCAAUUUUGACGUUACCGACAGAAUAAGCACCGGCUAACUCUGUGCCAGCAGCCGCGGUAAUACAGAGGGUGCAAGCGUUAAUCGGAAUUACUGGGCGUAAAGCGCGCGUAGGUGGUUAGUUAAGUUGGAUGUGAAAUCCCCGGGCUCAACCUGGGAACUGCAUUCAAAACUGACUGACUAGAGUAUGGUAGAGGGUGGUGGAAUUUCCUGUGUAGCGGUGAAAUGCGUAGAUAUCGGGAGGAACAUCAGUGGCGAAGGCGGCCCUCUGGUCCAGUACUGACACUCAAGUGCGAAAGCGUGGGGAGCAAACAGGAUUAGAUACCCACGUAGUCCCUGAGCGGGCUGGCAAGGCGCAU
rnacentral:rRNA from 1 species